UACAGAGGGUGCGAGCGUUAAUCGGAAUUACUGGGCGUAAAGCGCGCGUAGGCGGCUUGUUAAGUCAAAUGUGAAAUCCCCGAGCUUAACUUGGGCAUUGCAUUCGAUACUGGCAAGCUAGAGUAUGGGAGAGGAAGGUAGAAUUCCAGGUGUAGCGGUGAAAUGCGUAGAUAUCAGGAGGAACACCGGUGGCGAAGGCGGGUCUCUGGGCCGUAACUGACGCUGAGGAGCGAAAGCGUGGGGAGCGAACAGG
rnacentral:rRNA from 1 species